rnacentral:tRNA from 1 species
GAAGGGAUAGUUUAGUGGUAAAACAUUGGCUCUGCAUGCCUAAGCCUGGGGUUCGAUUCCCUGUCGCUUCA